rnacentral:tRNA from 1 species
GCCCCUGUAGCGCAAUGAAUAGCGCGUUGGACUUCUAAUCCAAGAGGUGGUGAGUUCGAAUCCCACCUGGGAUG